rnacentral:misc_RNA from 1 species
UAAUAAGUGUUUUAUGGCACUUUUUAAAUCCAUAUCCACCUUGUGUGCAAUGUCAGUCGAUCUUCUUCAUGGAGAUCGACCAAACAUCAACCUUUAUCUUUUAACUCUUUGUCUGAAAAAUAUUAUGAAUAAACAAUUCGAAAUA